UUCUAAGCACAGUAUUUUAUAAAGCUGAAAAAGCAAGAUAAAAUUAAGACAAGGGACGAAAUAGCAGCAAGUCAAAAGGAAGUAAUCAGAGUUAUACUGCUUUGGAGUCUAUCUUUAAGUUAAAUCUACACGUAAACAUGUUUAAGUUCACUGCUAAGAGCAAUGAGUCCAGAUGCUUCAAGCCAAGUGGACAGGCUUUGUAUUCAAGUUGGACUCUAAAAUAUAAGAUUCCCUUGAUAGGGCCUGGCUAGUGAGAAAGGAGUAAUACAUCCCUGAAGUACUUAUCUCUUCUUUUGCUAACAAAGGUUUUAAGUGGCCUUCUCUGAAUUUUGAUGCUGUAGAACUUUUCAGAUCUCUCGGAACUUAAAAUACCCCCCACAGCUUUCUCCCCUCCUUUCCCCAAGUGCUGUUUCUAGCAAGCAAAUACUUGUGCCCUUCUUGAAAUGAGCUGGGUCCCAUCACAUUGUCCACCAUCCUUCCUACUCCUCAUGUUCUCCCGAAGGUUACUGUGUGGAGAGUAGUGAGGUGGCAACAGACACCCAGCCAGGCCGCGGCUUAUGAAAGUCUGUGAAAACUACUUAGGGUCCCCUGCAAUCCCACGGCAUUUAACUCUCUGUUACAGUACUUAAAACAACCAGAGGCAGUCCUGUGUGAUUUUUUUUUUUCCCUGCUGAAGUCAUUUAAUAUCAGAUCACGAUUAAACAUCGCCGUGUUAAUUAUGAGUUCUUGAUAACAAUGUAGGUGAAAUACUUUAUUUAGAUUACAACAUGACAAGCAAAUUCACUUUAUCUGUUUGACACUGAAAAAAAUCAUGGGCAAGAGUGAUACAACAUUUUAGUUUUGAUGCCACAGACAAGGCACAAGUAACUGGGCAGGUGACUCUCGUGACACAGAUUUCUGACCCCUUUGUCUUGUGGCUCCUUCUGUUCCCCUCUUGUGUGUUCCCAAAGGGAAAGUUCUCAUUGGAGAGUGUCUAAUCCCUAAAUGCAGUGAAGGUGCCAGAUGGUUCACUUCUAAGCAGGAUACCCCAAACCCCGGCAUCCCGAGUCUAGAUGAGUUUGUAGUUUGGCUCAGAAAUGCCUCCUCAGAAAGGGACCUGAAGCAGCUUGUAGUCAAAGGCUUUUCCCCUCGCAGCACAGCUAGUGAAAGAGAAACCGUCCUUGAGGGGGGCUGGCUCCCACGCAGAGCUCCGUUGGAGGAGUGGUGCAAGGCUGCCCAAGUUCACGGCCUCGAGGCACCGGCGGGUGUGUGACUGAGCGCGGGGUCCAGGGCUCUCUGCACCAGGGACGGAUUAACCAGUCCCAUGGGUGUGGCAGCAGUUGUGGGGGAAGAACCCUAGACAGGCAGAGGGCCUGGCUGUACAACCUUAAAGACCUUUGGACUAUCGGCAAAUCGCUCAGCUUUUCUCGAUGAGGCCACAGCAUCCCCCGUGCCGCGGUCGCGGGAGGGUGUUCGGACCAAAGGAUAUGAUGCCUGUGGAAGUGCUCUGUAAACAGUAAUGCACCAUGAAAACAACACAGAUCGCCCUCAGGCAGGGCCAGAACUCAGGAUGCUGCUUUAAGCAGCUCAACAUUAUAUCUGUUCCACUCUGAUGGUAAACGCCUCUCCUGUAAGCUCCAUGGACCAGCCUCCAGGUGACGAAGAGGUAGGACCCUAGCAGGGAAAAAACCAGGCACUUUUCCCCUCCAGGACUUGAAGUACCUGGGGCCCUAUUUUGGUGAAUUUGAAUCUCCACAUCCUAUAAAUCAAAUUUGAAACUCUAGCGAGAUUUUGGCAGCAUCUAAAUCUGAUGUUGGAAGGAGGGUAUAUAUGAUGUGGAUUUUCUUAUUCCUGCCCACCCCGCUUGGGUCGCUUGAUCAGCCAGGCUGAUCAACUCCAAAAUAUUUUUGAACACUUCAGAAAAUGAUUUGCCAUUUCCCCAGUGGUCUCUUUUCUUUCUACUCAUGAUCUAAGUUUUGCUCAGAAUGACAUCAAGGGAAUGAGAAAAUUACCUGUAAUUCCUGUUGUCAGAUCUGAGAUUGUCACAACAGAUCAUUAUUCUAGGAUUAGAAACAUCUAGAACUGGCUCCUGGGGGGUAUUUCCAGCCUUCCUUUCUCCCUGCCUCACAGAGUUCUGGUGAGCCAGUCACCACCGUGGCAGCCAGACUGCUGGGUGCUGCACCACUGCCAGCCCCGGGGGAGCAAGAGGACCUCGCAGACGUCCCCCGAGCCCCAGGAAGCCUGAGGACCAGCUGCUCGGGGCCCACCACAGCCUCGAAGCCGGGGGCCUGGCGUGGCCGGCGAUCCAGGGAAACCCUGCGGUACUCGGUGAUGCACAGAGAAGCCUCCUUCUCCCUCAGGGCCCCGGGGCCAGCGUCUCCCUGCGAGUUACCCGCCGUUGAGUUUAAGUUCGAAAUGCCUGUGAGAUGUCCAGAAAGCAAUUUGAUAUAUGGGACUGGGGAGCCGAGGAGAGGCUGGAGAUGGCGACUGGGAGUCAUAAGCAUGGAGAAGAUGACAGAGCCAUUGGAGUAGUCUGUGACUCAUCCUCAGGCUCCGAUGACAGAAUUCUACCAAUUGUUCCAGGGAGAGAAAAAAACACAAAUACCAAUUGCUCACUGAUGACAUCCACUCCUUCCAGGGUCAAGCACGGACAGUUCAUUCAGUGGGUAAGACACUCUUCUCUGCUCCCACCGGAAGAAGGCCAGAUAGCUCUGGGGGAACAUGCCUGUUUUACCAACCCCACUAGCUCAUCCACACCUAGGAAUUUAACAGGCAUCUCCUAAAGAUACUUCACGCACGUCUAACCUUCCUACUCUGUAAUCCUGUUCAAGCGUCUCCAUGGAAGCUCUGUUUGACUGCACCCCCCCCGCCCCCGGCCCGUCUACCCCUCUGCCUUUGCCAAUAACCACGAAUUCAUCAUUCCCUAACACACCAUGGUGCAUCUCCACCCAAAUACGCUCUCCUUACCCAUUACCUAAUUCUCUCUAUGAUGCGCGUCCCUGGACAGCCUGGGCUCAUCUGAAGCCUCCCUUUCCUUCAUUCCCAAAGUCUUAUUUUGAAGUAUCUCUCAGAUUGACCUACUCAUUUCAAUUCCCGUGGCCUCUGUCGUGGCCCGACUGCUCUCACGUUCCCUGAAUGGCUUCAUUUUCAUCUCAGCUCGGUAUCUCUGAUCCCACUCUCUUCCACUGCCACGCGCCUCGUCGGCGUGUCGCCUUUCCAAGGACUCAGGAACCUGCCAGUGGCUCCCGCUCACUUAUGGCACCGAACCUCAGGCUCUCCUGGGUGGGUUUCAGGACCUUCCUUAAUCUGGGUGAGGCUCCAUCAAAGCCCUCCACUUCCUUCUAGUGUCCAACACCCCCCCCAUUUUCUUCUAGCUCCAAGCUCCUACCACGUGUCCUUCCUGGGGGCGGGGGGUGCUCAGCACCUCCCUUUCCU